UUCACGGUGGUUUCACGUCGGAGUAGAGGCGUUCAUGGUGGUUUUCACGGCAGAGACGUAGUCGGCGUUCACAUAUUUCACGGUGGUGGCAGUCGGCACAGUGUUUACGGUGGCAUAUAGCGUCUUCUGAUUCAUCAGAUGCUAGGUGUUUCUGAGAAAGCCUGCUUAGUGGUGGAAGAUAGUGUUAUUGGCCUACAGGCAUCAACAAAAGCUGGAAUGUCUUAUGUGAUUACCUACACAUCUUCAACCGCAGAACAGGACAUUACAGAUGACAUAACGAAAUACCCCGACUUAAUUGACGUAAGAACCAUUGCUGGUUGAGGUCGAUCAAAUAUACCAUCUUGCAUGCCCUGCUUCAUCGAUUUUGUAUAAAUACAAUGCUGUAAAGACAAUAAAGACGAACGUGAUUGGCACGCUAAAUAUGCUUGGUCUUGCAAAGAGAGUUGGCGCAAGCUUCAAAGAUU